UGUCACUUCCAGAAGGACGGGUCUAUUA
rnacentral:piRNA from 1 species